rnacentral:rRNA from 1 species
CAAUAGCGUAUAUUAACGUUGUUGCAGUUAAAAAGCUCGUAGUUGGAUUUCUGGAGGGAGCGUCGGCCCGUAUUUACGAGUGCGUGACGUCUCUGUCCAUCCUUGCGGGAAGGCACGGCAUUGAUUUGUUGUGUCGGAUCGCAUCAUUUACUGUGAAAAAAUUAGAGUGUUCAAAGCAGGCUUACGCCGUUGAAUAUAUUAGCAUGGAAUAAUAAGAUAGGACCUUGGUACUAUUUUGUUGGUUUGCGCACCGAGGUAAUGAUUAACAGGGACAGUUGGGGGUAUUCGUAUUCCAUUGUCAGAGGUGAAAUUCUUGGAUUUCUGGAAGACGAACUACUGCGAAAGCAUUUACCAAGGAUGUUUUCAUUAA